GCACGUUUUGUUAAGACAUCACCCUCCCAGCCUCCACUCCACCGUCGCAUUUUCUCUCGCCGUCUCAACUCGUUCUCUCUCUAGGAUUUGAAGUCGAAGGAACAAUGACUCGCUCAAGCAAAACAAUUUAUGUCGGAAAUCUUCCUGGUGAUAUUCGCGAGAGGGAAGUUGAAGAUCUGUUUUACAAGUAUGGUCCAAUUGCUCAUAUUGAUUUGAAAAUCCCACCAAGACCACCUGGUUAUGCAUUUGUUGAGUUUGAAGAGAUGCGUGAUGCUGAAGAUGCUAUCCGAGGUCGUGAUGGCUACGACUUUGAUGGAUCCCGUCUGCGGGUUGAACUUGCACAUGGAGGUCGUGGAAAUUCAUCAUCAACAGAUCGACAUAGCUUUAGUAACAGUGGACGUUCCAGCCGAGGAAUUUCAAGACGCACAGAGUUUCGUGUUCAAGUCACUGGAUUGCCUUCCUCUGCUUCAUGGCAGGAUUUAAAAGAUCAUAUGCGUAAAGCAGGGGAUGUAUGUUUCUCCCAAGUCUUCCGUGAUGGAAGAGGCACUACAGGAGUUGCUGAUUACACUAAUAUUGAUGACAUGAAAUAUGCUAUUAGGAAACUGGAUGACACUGAGUUUAAAAAUGCAUUUUCUCGUUCAAUUGUUCGUGUGAGAAAAUAUAGAAGUGAGAGUAGAAGCCGCUCCAGGAGCCGCAGCCGGAGUCGCUCCAACUCUAGAGGUAGGAGCAAUAGUCGCAGCCGAAGUCCAAGUAAAAGCAGGAGCAAGUCUCCAAAAGCUAAAUCAACACGUAGGUCCCGCUCGAGAUCAAGUGUGUCAAGAUAUGGAUAUAUCCAGCAUUCUGGGGAUUGCGAUGUUAGGAUCUUGAUGGAAUAUGGUUCAAAAUGCCCCACAACUCUUGUGGUUGUUUUCUGGAUGGGCAGCUUGUGUCUGUUAAGUGGGACUGUGAACAAAGAUCAUGGAUUGCAUGGAAGUCGUGCUAACUUAGCGUAAUUGGAACUGGGAGCAAACCAUUUUCAAAAUCUGCUUGGCCAGCUAAUAGAGCAUGCGGUUUGUGAUUGUAUAUAAUAUACAAAGUUCGCAGGUCUUCUAGCUAGAUGGAUUUAUACCCUUUUUUUCUAAACCUUUCUGUUAUUUCUUCUGAAGCUUUGCACUGUUUUGUCUUGUCUAUCCUCGUACUGUUAUCUAUGAUACGGAAGAGGCGUCAAGGCUCUUGGAUCAAAUCGUUAACUGGACUUGUGGUUGGGUAUUAAAUUCGGUUAUUUCUGGAACUUUUGCAGAUCUCCAUCAAGAUCAAAAUCUCCUGUACCAUCUAAACGCCUGAGUAAGAGCCCGAAAAAACUGAGGAGCAAGAGUCCAAGCUUGAGCCCCAAAAAACUGAGGAGCAAGAGUAGAAGCCCAAGCCCC